UCACAAAAAAAAGAUCUGCCCAAUUAUUCAUAUCUAGCCCCUUCAAAACUUUGGCUCACUUCGCCACUGAUUUGUUUCAUCACACUUCUAUGCAAAUACUUACGCCUAUAGAAUAGAAUACAUUAUAUCCUACAUAGAGUAAAUCAUGUAUAGUACUAUUGGUUCAAGUAGCAUCAUGUGACCGAAUAUAUUUCAACUCUGACGUCAUACCUCGAUAUAUUUUUGGAUACUAGUAUAUCGAGGUCUGACAUCAUUAUUUCACAAAACUGGAUCUAGCUAAACUCUCAGGCACACCGGCCAGCGCGCUCUCUCUCCCGGCAAGUCCAGCGAUGUGUCGGCACAGGCACUGAUCUGCGUUCUGCUGAGCACGAUGGCUCAGAGAAAAAUUCCCAUUCAGCCGUUGGACUGAACUGGUACUGUAACACAGUAUGGAUGGUCAAUAUGAAGCAAGCUUCAUCGAAUUCCUCCAAGAGCUCUGAACUCUGUUCUGAUCAUUUUGAAGAUGCUGCUUUGACAGGACUGGGCAAACGAUUCGUCUAAGACAGGAUGCUGUCCCAACCACAUUUAAUUUGCCGCCUCGUCAUCAGAAGAAUGCACACAAACCAGGGAAACCCUCGAAAGAAAGUCAUUUAGAUUCAGCAAGCAACCUCCCAGAUACUGCAAAGACACCUGUACCAAAGUCUUCAGCACCUUCCCUGGGACUACUACUCAAUGCCAAAAAUCUAAGAGGGAUGGAGACCAGCAGCAUGGCAGCAGGAGCUAAUGUUGGUCGUGAUGAGGCAUAUACCACCAUCAACAAUGCUGCAAUUGCAGUCACCACCACCAAGUCUGCUUCUGUCACUGCCAUCACCAUUGCCACCGCCAUUACCAAGACCACUCCUGACACAAAGCCCCCAAGUCCUCAACUGACCAGAUAUUGCAGCUGGAGAAGGAUAUACCAGGAACUUCAAAGCCAGGGCUUGCCAGUCUCCUACAAUAAGAAAAAUGCCAUGGGCCCAUCUAAUGAACUAGUAGUAGAAUAUUUGGCCACAGUUGUAGAAAUGCAGAGACUAACAUACUGCCACAGGUGAGGUUUUGUCCACAGUUCCAGAAGGACACAAAAUAGUAUCAGAAAGUCAUGCCAGAAUCAACAACUGAAGGGUUUGAAGAGCCAGAUAAAGAGCCGAGAAAUGUGAUUUUAAAGGUACUUCAAUCACAUGCACAGUAGGAGCAAAAACAGCAGCAAACACACAGGAGAUGUAACACUACAUUGACCAACAGCAACAACUACAGCAGCAUCAACAAUUUCUGCAGGAGAUGCAAAAACCACACUGGCAACCUCAACAACAUCAAGGUGUCCAACAAGCACUCCGGGAACGUUAACAGCAACCACAGCUUCAGCUGGAGUUUCAACAAA